rnacentral:lncRNA from 1 species
CUUGAACCCGGGAGGCAGAGGUUGCAGUGAGCAGAGAUGGUGCCAUUGCAUUCCAGCCUAGGUGACAAGAGCGAGACUUGGUCUCAAAAACAAAACAAAACAAACAAAAACAUAAAAAAGACUAUGGGACAAUGAUAUUUAUUUGGACACAGGUCUCCAAAUCUACCUCUUCAAAAGAAACGGACACUGUAACAGCCUUGGUGUAACAGCCUUGGUUAAAGACUUAAGGCGUCCCCAACUAAGAGUGGGGCCAUCUCUAAGUUGGCCCCAGUGCCAUCUGCAGACAUUUCUGUCAUCCUCCCAUCCUUGGGGGCUUCUUUCUCCAGCUCCAGUGUGUGCGCAGUAAAGCUUGCAGCUGUACAGCCUCCAAGAAGCAAACCCAGGUCCCACACAGCCACAGUUGUACAGUGACGCCCUUCCCCGUCCCCUUGUUUGAGCUAUGCCCAAGGGACCAGUCUGGACUGCUAUGCCAUCUCACUCCCAACCCAAGCUCCGCCAAACCUGUGCCAGGAACAACUGGGAGGAAUAGGCCAACGUUUCAGAGCCUCGGGAAUGAGAAACAGCAGGAGGUGAGAGGGAACUAGACCAACAGGACCCAAGGGAGAGUAUCAAAGGCACAACAAAGGAAAAUGAGGACAACCCAAUACCCAGAAAAAAAACAAGUAAUUCAUGGACUCACAAUAGGCCACAAACUAGAUGACUGUCAGGAAGAGAAGAGUAAACCUUAUGAUCUUAAAAUGAUUUCUUGUUCAUUUGCCUCCUUGCAUCAAUCUAGACUUUAAGAGAUACGUGAUUUUUAAAUAAAUGGGUACAUCUGCAUAAUAG